GAGGCGGUAAUAGUUAAGCUGAGAACUGAAGGAGCCAGUAUGUAAAGACUGGGUCGACAGCUUUCCAAGGCAGAGGGAAUCAGGAAAAUGAUGGGCUUGUCGGAGGAACAGAAAGGACAACGAACUUUUAGGUUUCCUCAGAGACCUUGAUAAUUGCGGCUGAGCUGUCCGAGGUGCUGACGGCUGGGCGAGAGGAGCGGUUGAAUGUAUGCACAACGCCCAAAGUGUGAACUGCUGCAAUCAGUGGCCAAGGCUGCAAGCCAGGCAGAGAAGAGGACUGUGCAGAAAGCAGAAGAUGAAGAAAUUGGGAAUCCUGCACAGCAGUGACAGGAGCUCAUUGACUCCUUCUCCCCAAGGGCCAGAUCAGGCAGCUAGAGAGGCCUGUCAUUAACUCUCUUUAUUAUCUGCAUUUUCUGCCUCACUGGCUCAUCUGAGGCUGCAAAUGGGACUCACUCCUUGCAUGAGCCUUGCUUCAUUGGCUUCUGGAACUGAGAGGAGUUGAAUCACGGAAAACAUUUAUCAACUUGGGGGUUAAAUGUGGGAGAUAGGGAACUCGAUGUGCACAUAAUACACCAAGUUGUAUUGUCCUAGGAACUUAUCCUAAAAGGAUCAUGGUAGUUUCUACCCUACUGUGGCUUCUUCUGAAGCCAGUAUCUCCUACUACUGUUAUUGAAGGAUCAGCACUGUCCUUUCUAGCCAGAUUCAUAUAAUUCACCUCUUACAUUUUAAGAAAUGUGUCUAUAUGGUAUUCCCCUACAAGAACAGGAGCAGUGUGGCAUGGGCUUAUAGUGAUGUGCUGCUUACAAGUCAUGAGACCUUAGACUCUCUGAGCUUCAGUCUCUUUAUCUGUAAAAUGGGGAUGAUUACCUGAGCCUUGAAGUUCUGGGUAAGGAUUACUAAUAUCAUCCUUCUUUGUUAAGCAUUUACCAGACUCUAAGUGCUUGAACAUGCGCUAUCUAAAUCCAGUCCUCAGAACAAUGAGGUAAACACUAUUAUCAUCCCCAUUCUGUGGAUGAGGAAACUGAAACACAAGUUAAAUAACUUGCCCAAAAUAACACACCUCUCUCCCAACCUUCCUGCAGGAAACUCAUCUACUCCCAUGACUUACAAUAUCAACCAUAGACAACAGCUCCUAUGUGUGUUUUUUUCAGUCCUAUUCUCUCCUCUGAGGCCCAACUUACAUUCCUGGUCAACUUGGAGGUUUAACAGAUCUCUCUAACUUAUUUAUCCCAAACAAAUGAAGACACUGAAGCAACAUGCUCAAGGUCAAACAACUAGGGAGUCAUCAAGCUAGAAUCUGAACCUAGGUCUCUCUUUAUCUGCAAAGAUCACACAACUGGGCACAUUCUCUCUCUCUCUAUGAGUUGGUGCUCUCUUCUAAUUACCCCUGUCAGUGAGGCAUA